AGUUGAUUGAUUCAAUAGUAUUAGAAAUUUUAGAUUUAUAAUCGAUUUCAUAAAUCGUGUUAUUUAAAUCGAAUUGUUAGAAUUAUAACUUGAGCGUAUGUGAAUAAUAAUUUUAUUAUUACAUGUUAUGUGUGUUUAGUAUUAAGUCGUGAAUUAAUUCCGACUUUCACGUAUUAAAUCCCAAGAUUGAGGAUUUAAUUUAUAUAAAUACGACAAGUAUUUAAUUAGCAGGAAUUGGAAAAUUAUUACAGAAACGAAUAAGAACUAGGAGAAACUAGAUCACGGAAAAUCAAAAUCCUACUACACGUAUGUCUCGAUUUUUCAUCCAACACAUCAAUUCCUACACUAUUCCACCUUCUCCUUCAACGCAACAUCAUACUGCAACAAGUUUUUCAAGGUCUCAAUAUCUUCCAUGCAAUCCAAAAAGCCAAGAUAUGAGGAAAAGAAGAUCACGAAAGAAACAAAAUUUUCAAAGAUUGCAUGCUCAACCUUCCCCUCCAAUUCAAGAUUUCUGACUUCAAAGAUUUGCAGAUUUCUAGCAAAUCUUAUUUUUUUCAAAAGUGUAGAUUUGCAGCUGACUUUCCUUCCAACUCCCUACACAAAUUUCAACCUUCAUAAUUUCCAUUGUCUACGGAAUCCACUUAUAAAUACAUAGCAUAUCAGUUAACACACAGCUCACUCCACUAGCAAUAACCACACCCGUGCAGAGAAAGUGAAGCCAACAAGCUUCAAAACAAACUUUGCAUACUUCUUAAGCUCAAGUGAGCUCCCUUCGCCAGGCUAUUUCUUCGCCGACCGGCCACUAGGCUCUGAACCGAGAACGUGUACUCGUUCCUCCAUCUUCAGGCUACCAAACCCAACAAUCGAAAGGCCAAAGCCUUCUCUAUAUUUUCCUGACCAAAGGCCGCAAUAUCCUUCGGAGGCCAACGUCGAAUUCCCGACUUAGCCACCGGCCAACUUACGGCUUUCGUUUCUCACUAUCCUUACGACGAAAAAGGAUUGAGAAAACACCGUUGUGUAGCCUGAUCUACCUCGCACGAGGAAGACUAAGUCGUAGACCUUCGCGGCUAAACACCAUCGCGGAACGACGACCAGAAAACCCCCGACGAACAACUUCCAUUAGUGCUCACUUGGACAAGGGUAAGUUGACGCCCUUAUUUCGAUGCAUUCCCGUUUCUAUUAUAUUAUGGGAAAUUUCUGGGGUAUAUAUGGGAGCGUGGUAAAUAUUUGUACAAAGUUUCAUGUUAUUUGAACUUCGUUUACCACCCUUUUAAAAUUUGAGAAGUCUACUGCCCGUAUCUGUUGAAACUGUCAUGAGGCAGAUGAUUAGGUUAAUUAUUUCAGUAACCAUAUGUUGAUAUUUAGCUCUCAAAUUUUUAUUGUAUGAAGAUAUAUGUGUUAGCUAUCUUCAUAUAAAAUUUGAGGUUAUUCCGGUAACGUUUGCUAUUUUUUCAAAAAUCUGGACUUUCAGUUGGCAGAAACUGCCGAAUCUGGUAGGCGAUGGGAAAAUCGCUAUAUCUCUUAAACUACUUGGAGUUUUUCAACAUACUUUUUUUUCAAUUAAACUAGACUCAAAGAGGUUUCUAUUGAUAUAAAAUUCGACUCCAUACGAGUUCGGAGUAAAAGCAGUUUAUUAGUUGAAGUUGAAUCUAUACAGUUUUGUUGAGAUGGAAAUGAUUCAAAAUAAUUCCUAUUAAGGAUUUUAAAGUUUUAUUGUUGAUAAAAUAUCACUUUUAGAUUAUAAAUGAGCUAUUGAUGUGUAUAUAUAUAUAUUGGUGAUUGGCAUUAUUAAAUGGGGAAAAGGAAAACGUUUUAUGUUUAUAGAAUUAUUCUUUAUUUAUAAUAGAUAAAUAAAUGAAUAAUAUAAAAUGGAAUUUCCUACAUCCUCAAAGGUACAUGAAAUAUUUUGAUAAAGGAAGAACGAUUGUAUAUGAGUUAGAUAUAGUCGUUUAAGGAAAUAUGGGUAGUUAGAGAAAUGAGUGAAUAGUGAUUCACUGCAUUUGUUGUUAUCUUUUCUAUUAUUCACUCGAACACAUGUUUUCGUGUUAUCAAAGGUUCAAAUAAACAAAAGCGUCUGAGUAACCUAUCGCGCUAAGGAAAGAGAAUCAUUGUCUUAAGUAGCAAAACACUGCAAUCAGGUUGAGCUGAUGUGAUGAUGGUGCUGCAAUGAGCGGAGUCUCCAGGGUUGUUAAUAAAUAGUUAACCUGUCUAGAAUAUGUCUUCAUACAUAUGUCUAGCUACUUUCCGCUGCAAGAUGUUGUUGAUGUUAUAGUAUGUUAUGUCAUACUUUGAGUCUUAAGAGAAUGGUUUCAUAUGAUGUAUAACUUGAUUAAUGAUAUUAAUUAAGUUUUAUGCUGUCUUUCA